GUUAACGUAGCAAAGUUUGGUCUUGCAAAAGAUCUAAGCCCUUUUUACAGAGGUUCAAGUCCUCUCGUUAACU
rnacentral:tRNA from 1 species